rnacentral:lncRNA from 10 species
CUUUGACCCGAUGCUGUCAGAGAGCGUGCAUGAAGAAGAAAGUUAAUGGUAUUUCCAUUUAUAUAAGAAGCGCCUAAGAAAUGCCUGUGACGUUCGUGAACUAGUGAUUGUGAAUUCCAAAUUUGAUGCCAACUUUAUGUGUAAAGAAGCUAACUCCUGCCAACAUCGUGGCUGAAUGAACAGCUGGGACUAUGCUUAACCCAUUCCCAGCUUAUAAAAGCCCCAUGGCAGCUGCAGUGAAGCAUCAGAUUAUGUGAUGCAACAAAAUUCAAAUAUGAAAACCAUCUCGGAGGCCGGGCGCGGUGGCUCACGCCUUUAAUCCCAGCACUUUGGGAGGCCGAGGUGGGUGGAUCAUUUGAGGUCAGAAGUUCAAGACCAGCCUGGCCAACACGGUGAAACCCUGUCUCUACUAAAAAUACAAAAAUUAACUGGGCGUGGUGGCACAUGCCUGUAAUCCCAGCUACUCGGGAGGCUGAGGCAGGAGAAUUGCUUGAACCUGGGAGGCGGAGGUUGCAGUGAGCCGAGAUCACGCCAUUGUUCUCCAGCCUGGGCAACAAGAGCAAAACUCUGUCUCAAAAAUAAAAUAAAAAAUUGCUUUAAAAAAUAAAAA